rnacentral:rRNA from 1 species
GAGUUUGAUCCUGGCUCAGGACGAACGCUGACGGUGUGCUUUAGACAUGCAAGUCGAACGAGAAAGCCCUUCGGGGUGAGUACAGUGGCGAACGGGUGCGUAACACGUGGGCAACCUGCCCCUCGCAGGGGGACAACCGGAGGAAACUCCGGCUAAUACCCCGUAAGCUCUAUAGGUCGCAUGGCCAUUAGAGGAAAGGUAGCUUCGGCCAUCCGGCGAGGGAUGGGCCCGCGGUACAUUAGCUAGUUGGUGGGGUAACGGCCCACCAAGGCGACGAUGUAUAGCUGGUCUGAGAGGAUGAUCAGCCACACUGGGACUGAGACACGGCCCAGACUCCUACGGGAGGCAGCAGUCGGGAAUCUUGCACAAUGGGCGAAAGCCUGAUGCAGCAACACCGUGUGAACGAUGAAGGCCUUAGGGUUGUAAAGUUCUGUUGUUGGGGACGAAGGGCGAAGGGUUAAUAGCCCCUAGCUUGACGGUACCCUUCUAGAAAGCCCCGGCUAACUACGUGCCAGCAGCCGCGGUAAUACGUAGGGGGCGAGCGUUGUCCGGAAUUAUUGGGCGUAAAGAGCUCGUAGGCGGUUUGUCGCGUCUGCCGUGAAAGUCCGGGGCUCAACUCCGGAUCUGCGGUGGGUACGGGCAGGCUAGAGUGAUGUAGGGGAGACUGGAAUUCCUGGUGUAGCGGUGAAAUGCGCAGAUAUCAGGAGGAACACCGAUGGCGAAGGCAGGUCUCUGGGCAUUAACUGACGCUGAGGAGCGAAAGCAUGGGGAGCGAACAGGAUUAGAUACCCUGGUAGUCCAUGCCGUAAACGUUGGGCACUAGGUGUGGGGGACAUUCCACGUUUUCCGCGCCGUAGCUAACGCAUUAAGUGCCCCGCCUGGGGAGUACGGCCGCAAGGCUAAAACUCAAAGGAAUUGACGGGGGCCCGCACAAGCGGCGGAGCAUGCGGAUUAAUUCGAUGCAACGCGAAGAACCUUACCAAGGCUUGACAUGGACCGGACCGCCGCAGAGAUGUGGUUUCUCCUUUUGGGGCCGGUUCACAGGUGGUGCAUGGUUGUCGUCAGCUCGUGUCGUGAGAUGUUGGGUUAAGUCCCGCAACGAGCGCAACCCUCGUUCCAUGUUGCCAGCGCGUAAUGGCGGGGACUCAUGGGAGACUGCCGGGGUCAACUCGGAGGAAGGUGGGGACGACGUCAAAUCAUCAUGCCCCUUAUGUCUUGGGCUUCACGCAUGCUACAAUGGCCGGUACAAAGGGUUGCGAUACUGUGAGGUGGAGCUAAUCCCAAAAAGCCGGUCUCAGUUCGGAUUGGGGUCUGCAACUCGACCCCAUGAAGUCGGAGUCGCUAGUAAUCGCAGAUCAGCAACGCUGCGGUGAAUACGUUCCCGGGCCUUGUACACACCGCCCGUCAAGUCACGAAAGUUGGUAACACCCGAAGCCGGUGGCCUAACCCCUUGUGGGAGGGAGCCGUCGAAGGUGGGACUGGCGAUUGGGACUAAGUCGUAACAAGGUAGCCGUACCGGAAGGUGCGGCUGGAUCACCUCCUUUCU